GUAAACUUGCUUGUGAAUAAGAUCCAAAUGAUGAGUUCAUCAGUGGGCAAUACCUAAUGAGUUGACUCUUGACAGAUUUUACCUACUAGUUGGGAAGUUCAUGGUAUAGUUUAUAGUACAUUCAGUAGAUCCAAUUGAUCAUUCAAGAGUUUUUCCUCCAUACUUGUGUGAAUUGAGUUGUUUGUUUAAGUGUUUUGACGGGAGAUAUUCAGAGUGCGUAAUGUAAUUUUGCUGUAUUUGUUGUAUAGAAAAAAUACAAACAAGAAAUUUGUUUUCCGGCAUGAAGAUGAUUCUUAAUUAUUUGAUUUACUUACAAUUAUAGAAAAAAAACUCUUGAAUGAUC
rnacentral:misc_RNA from 1 species